rnacentral:rRNA from 1 species
GACGAACGCUGGCGGCGUGCCUAAUACAUGCAAGUAGAACGCUGAAGAGAGGAGCUUGCUCUUCUUGGAUGAGUUGCGAACGGGUGAGUAACGCGUAGGUAACCUGCCUUGUAGCGGGGGAUAACUAUUGGAAACGAUAGCUAAUACCGCAUAACAAUGGAUGACACAUGUCAUUUAUUUGAAAGGGGCAAUUGCUCCACUACAAGAUGGACCUGCGUUGUAUUAGCUAGUAGGUGAGGUAAUGGCUCACCUAGGCGACGAUACAUAGCCGACCUGAGAGGGUGAUCGGCCACACUGGGACUGAGACACGGCCCAGACUCCUACGGGAGGCAGCAGUAGGGAAUCUUCGGCAAUGGGGGCAACCCUAACCGAGCAACGCCGCGUGAGUGAAGAAGGGUUUCGGAUCGUAAAGCUCUGUUGUAAGUCAAGAACGGGUGUGAGAGUGGAAAGUUCACACUGUGACGGUAGCUUACCAGAAAGGGACGGCUAACUACGUG